GGUGCUUCUUUAUAUGGAAACGCAGCCUGCUAAAAAGGAAGUUUGAACAUACUUUCACUUUCACAUUGCACGUUAAAGACAAGAAAGAAAAGCCAUGGAAAAUGCGGACAGGUUUCUGAAGUCAAAGAGGAGGGAUUUUAUACAAUCGGUGACUACGGGCACGAUAAAUGGCUUGUUGGAUGGAUUACUAGAGGAAAGAGUACUGAACCAAGAGGAGAUGGAGAAAGUAAGAAGAGAAAAUUACACAGCUAUGGAUAAAGCCCGAGAUUUGAUUGAUUCAGUCAUUCGGAAAGGGCACCAGGCAAGCCAAAUAUUUAUCAAUCAAAUUGUUGAAGUUGACCCUCAACUUGCACACAAUCUGGGAUUAUCCUAAGUAGAGAGAUCCUGAAGAACAGAAAAAAACUCUUCAUUCUGCCCUUUCUUCUUUUCAUCUCUAAUGCCUACUGUCAGGUCUAUUAAUUAUGAAAUUCAGCUUUGUUAUAAUCUUCAGGGACAACCCUCAUGCAUGGUGCUCAUUUUUCACUGAAGCGUCAUUAUGUGGCACAUGACUCGACUGAAUGAGGAGGAGAGCACGCUUCUCACCCAAGCUCUGCAAUUUGUGUUUGCCAAGUUUCUGAACCAACUAUUUCUUUUAACCUGGUCUUCUUAUUCAUAAAAUGAAAGCAGUGUAUAUUUAACCUGUUUAAUGGACACAUUUUUCAUGGCAGAUAAUGAAAUAAAGCAUAUGAAAAUUUU